GGUCAUGGAGUAGCAUACUCCGNAAGACCUAGUGGCGAACGGGUGCGUAACACGUGAGGAACUUGUCCCGGUCUCUGGGAUAACAGUUGGAAACGACUGCUAAUACCGGAUGACGUCGGAGCGUCGCAUGGCGCGCUGACGAAAGGGUUACUGGAUCGGGAGAGCCUCGCGGCCUAUCAGCUUGUUGGUGGGGUAACGGCCUACCAAGGCAUCGACGGGUAGCUGGUCUGAGAGGAUGAUCAGCCACACUGGGACUGAGACACGGCCCAGACUCCUACGGGAGGCAGCAGUGGGGAAUCUUGCGCAAUGGGCGAAAGCCUGACGCAGCAACGCCGCGUGCGGGAAGAAGGCUCUCGGGUUGUAAACCGCUUUCAGCAGGAACGAAAAUGACGGUACUUGCAGAAGAAGGUGCGGCCAACUACGUGCCAGCAGCCGCGGUGACACGUAGGCACCAAGCGUUGUCCGGAUUUAUUGGGCGUAAAGAGCUCGUAGGCGGUUCGGUAAGUCAGGUGUGAAACUUUGGGCUCANCCAAAGCCUGCAUCUGAUACUGCUGUGACUAGAG
rnacentral:rRNA from 1 species